CCUCCUCCUCCCGGCGCUGGUCGGGCUCAGCCCAGCCACGGCAGCCAUGAGCGCGGCACGGCGCUGCCGGCAGGACACGCUGGCCUGGCGCCUGCAACUCAUCGGGUCUUCUUGCAAGCUCUUCUUUCCCAAAGAUCCAGUGAAGAUUGUCAGGGCAAAAGGCCAGUAUAUGUAUGAUGAAAAUGGAAGACAGUACCUUGACUGCAUUAACAAUGUGGCUCAUGUUGGACACUGCCACCCUGAUGUAGUAAAUGCAGCCAAUGAACAGAAUCAGUUGCUAAAUACAAAUUCUCGUUAUCUCCAUGACAAUAUAGUGGAUUAUGCAAGAAGACUUUCCAAAACGCUGCCUGAGAAGUUGUGCACCUUCUAUUUUUUGAAUUCAGGAUCAGAAGCCAAUGACCUUGCCCUGAGAUUGGCACGACAACAUACAAAACACACAGAUGUUAUUGUGUUAGAUCAUGCUUACCAUGGACAUCUGACAUCCUUGAUUGACAUAAGUCCAUAUAAAUUCAGAAAUCUAGAAGGACAGAAGGAUUGGGUCCAUGUGGCUCCUAUCCCGGACACAUACCGUGGAAUAUACAGAGAAGAUCAUAAAGAUUUAGUUACGGCUUAUGCCAAUGAAGUGAAAGAAAUCAUUGAGCAAGCACACAAAAAGGGUAGAAAGAUUGCAGCAUUUUUUGUUGAAUCUCUACCAAGUGUUGCUGGUCAGAUCAUUCCACCAGCAGGCUAUUUCCAAAAGGUAGCAGAACACGUGCACAAAGCAGGAGGUGUAUUUGUUGCUGAUGAAAUUCAAGUAGGUUUUGGCAGAGUUGGCAAACACUUUUGGGCAUUCCAGCUUCAGGGAGAGGAUUUGGUACCAGAUAUCAUCACUAUGGGCAAACCAAUAGGAAAUGGGCACCCUGUUGCCUGUGUAGCAACAACAAAAGAAAUUGCAGAAUCAUUUGCAGCUACUGGAGUGGAAUACUUUAAUACAUUUGGAGGAAAUCCUGUUUCAUGUGCCAUAGGCUUAGCAGUUUUGGAUGUGAUUGAGAAGGAGCAUCUUCAAGCCCAUGCUAUGCAAGUGGGCAACUUCUUGAUGGAAUUACUGAAUCAACAGAAAGUUAAACAUCCUAUCAUUGGCAAUGUCAGGGGUGCUGGAUUAUUUAUUGGAGUGGAUUUAAUAAAAGACCAAGACAAAAGGACCCCAGCUACUGAAGAAGCAGAGUACUUGAUAACAAGACUGAAGAAAGAGUACAUUCUGCUGAGUACUGAUGGUCCAGGAAGAAACGUACUUAAGUUCAAGCCUCCAAUGUGCUUUAGUGUACAGGAUGCCAAAUUAGUUGUGGAUGCAAUGGAUAAAAUAUUAACAGGGGCUCAUAAUGAUCAACUGAAGUUCACAGUUAAGGUCAACACCUGUGUGUCCUCCCCCCCCAAGAAAAUGGUCUCUACAAAUUAAACCCAAGUGAUACAAACUUAAGACCAGUUUUUAAUAUUUGGAUUCUCAAAUGUGUACAGAAGAUAUUCAACCUGUCAAUAAUAACUUGUUGCACAAGCUUCCAUUUGUUUUCAAUUGCCUGGGCACAGGGGGGAGGACUGAUUUAAUUGAUCAGAGGAACAAAGUGUUACAUUUAGACUUAAGUCUGCAGUUUACCACCUGAAUGCAACAGUCGCAAAGUCAACUCACUGGAGUAAAAAGGGGCUUCAACACUUACACAUUUGUUGAUUCCAUAUUCAGAUAUGGAAAAAGAGGCGGCAUGUGAAACAGUGGGAGACCUCAAAUCUUAAGCUUCAAUUUUAAUAGAUCUUCUUGACUGGAUCUUCUUCCUUGAAAGUGAUGAAAACAAAACCUCUCCUUUUGUUGGUCUUUGGAUCCAUCGGAAGUUCAAUUGCUUCAAUCUGAAGACCGGAAAUUAUACUUGAGCAUGCUACUUUAAGAUUCUGCAUUUUCACUAUAUGGUUCCUAUUCUUUAUUUCAGCUUAGCACUUGGUACAUAAGCAGCUACAGUUAGCUAGUCUGUAUUAGCAUUGGCUUUCUCUUAGGCAAAUUUGUUCUAGUUUAUAGAUGUAGUUUGAGAAAAGUAAUUUAAUUAUGAAUAAAUAAGUGACUAAAAAAAAUCAA